rnacentral:rRNA from 1 species
AGUGAACGCUGGCGGUAGGCCUAACACAUGCAAGUCGAACGGCAGCACAGUAAGAGCUUGCUCUUACGGGUGGCGAGUGGCGGACGGGUGAGGAAUACAUCGGAAUCUACUUUUUCGUGGGGGAUAACGUAGGGAAACUUACGCUAAUACCGCAUACGACCUACGGGUGAAAGCAGGGGAUCUUCGGACCUUGCGCGAUUGAAUGAGCCGAUGUCGGAUUAGCUAGUUGGCGGGGUAAAGGCCCACCAAGGCGACGAUCCGUAGCUGAUCUGAGAGGAUGAUCAGCCACACUGGAACUGAGACACGGUCCAGACUCCUACGGGAGGCAGCAGUGGGGAAUAUUGGACAAUGGGCGCAAGCCUGAUCCAGCCAUACCGCGUGGGUGAAGAAGGCCUUCGGGUUGUAAAGCCCUUUUGUUGGGAAAGAAAAGCAGCAGGUUAAUACCCCGCUAUUCUGACGGUACCCAAAGAAUAAGCACAGGCGAACUUCGU